rnacentral:rRNA from 1 species
AGUUGUUGCGGUUAAAAAGCUCGUAGUUGGAUUUCUGUUGAGGACGGCCGGUCCGCACUAUGUGCGUGUAUCUGGUUCGGCCUUGGCAUCCUCUUGAGGAACGUUCCUGCGCUUGAUUGCGUGGGGCGGUAUUCAAGACUUUUACUUUGAGGAAAUUAAAAUGUUCACGGCAGGCAAGCGCCUUGAAUACAUUAGCAUGGAAUAAUAAUAUAGGAUCUUGGUUCUAUUUGUUGGUUUCUAGGGCUAAGGUAAUGAUUAAUAGGGAUAAUUGGGGGCAUUUGUAUUAACGCGUCAGAGGUGGAAUUCUUGGAUUGCGUUACGACAAACUACUGCGAAAGCAUUUGCCAAGGAUGUUUUCAUUGAUCAAGAACGAAAGUAUGGGGAUCGAAGAUGAUUAGAUACCGUCGUAGUCUAUACCAUAAACUAUGCCGACUAGGGAUUGGAGGUCGUUCUUUUUAUGACUCCUUCAGCACCUUAUGAGAAAUCAAAGUCUUUGGGUUCCGGGGGGAGUAUAGUCGCAAGGCUGAAACUUAAAGGAAUUGACGGAAGGGCACCACCAGGAGUGGAGCCUGCGGCUUAAUUUGACUCAACACGGGGAAACUCA